GAAGUUUUUGUGGCUGUUGCAAGGCAUGCUGAACAGAGGCUGAAUUUCACCCUGCGGCACAGGAAGUUUCAGUUUGAGGCCUGAUGAACUCAUCAUAGGUGAUAGAAUGUUACAUUGGAGCCAUCCUCAAUUCUAAGGAUACUGCUGGCCAACUAUACCACAUGAAUCACUACACCAUGGGUGUAAUCUCACACAGCACAAGAGAGCAGAUGGCCAGACAAGGGUUAAAAAAGACAGUAUUUCAAGAUGUACCAGAAUAGACUUGGAAAGGAGGACUGGGUUAACAUCAAGUGGCAGCCUGUCA